CCUACCUGAGGCCUUCUGAGAGUGCAGGCUGGAUGAUGACCAUCUCAAUUUACAAUUUGGAUUGCUGUCUCCAUGAUUCUGCUAUCCUACUAUCUUAAACUUAGCUGCAGUGGAUACUAUUAAGAUAGACUAGCAACUGUGCCUUCUUCAACAAAAAAAAGCUCCUGGUAACAAUAUGAAUUAUUAAUCUCAUGAAAGAACAAGGAGAACACGACGGAGCCAGAAAGAAGGGGCAUAAGGGCCAGGAUUUCACCACUAGAGAGUGUAAUUCUACUGUGUAACUUGACCUUUAAACUGU